rnacentral:tRNA from 1 species
UGUUAGCAUAGUUUAACAAAAACACUAGGAUGUGGCCCUAAAAACAGAAGUAUAACCCUUCNCGCAAACC